GAGAGUUGGCUGAGUGGUCGAAAGCGCCUCACUGCUAACGAGGUAAGGGUUUAUAGCCCUUCAUGGGUUCGAAUCCCAUACUCUCC
rnacentral:tRNA from 1 species